rnacentral:rRNA from 1 species
AUUGAACGCUGGCGGCAGGCCUAACACAUGCAAGUCGAACGGUAACAGGAAGAAGCUUGCUUCUUUGCUGACGAGUGGCGGACGGGUGAGUAAUGUCUGGGAAACUGCCUGAUGGAGGGGGAUAACUACUGGAAACGGUAGCUAAUACCGCAUAACGUCGCAAGACCAAAGAGGGGGACCUUCGGGCCUCUUGCCAUCGGAUGUGCCCAGAUGGGAUUAGCUAGUAGGUGGGGUAACGGCUCACCUAGGCGACGAUCCCUAGCUGGUCUGAGAGGAUGACCAGCCACACUGGAACUGAGACACGGUCCAGACUCCUGCGGGAGGCAGCAGUGGGGAAUAUUGCACAAUGGGCGCAAGCCUGAUGCAGCCAUGCCGCGUGUAUGAAGAAGGCCUUCGGGUUGUAAAGUACUUUCAGCGGGGAGGAAGGGAGUAAAGUUAAUACCUUUGCUCAUUGACGUUACCCGCAGAAGAAGCACCGGCUAACUCCGUG